UUGCCAUGUUGGGCAAUUACAAGCAGAUUUAAAAGAUUUAUUUCUCCCUUGGUGACAAAUUCGUAUUUUCGUUUUGACACUAAACUGUGAAAUAAAAGUCACCAUGAAGGUAGAAUUCAUUGAAAGUAAUUUAAAAAGAUAACUAAAACUAUUUUGUAUUCUGUGUAUUGAAACGUUAAAAAAUAAGUCGCUCUUCGUCCAUUAUUUGCCUUUUUCGUUUUGUGUUUACGAACAAGAUUACUUGUUUCUACAGAGGGAUUUGGCAACCCUGCUCGGCUACUGAAUUGUAUAAAUAUGUGGACGUAGCUAACGCUAAGUCUCCCCACAACUUCAACGCAGUAUUAAUGACUCCGUAAAUUCCUGUAGCGCCACCACUGGGUACUGUGAAUUCAGCGGGAAACAAAGCCAACUAUGGUAAAGUAGCGACGGUGUUUAGUGUAGACAGUUAGUCUCUGUGAGAAGUGGAGAAACGCCGGUUGAAGUGAUAGCCCAGCCCUCACCAGACGGGCAUGUCUCCCCGGCUCCUGUGGCGGUUGGUGCUGUGCUGCAGCCUGCCUGUGUUCACCCCUCCUCAGCCCGGGGCUCAGGCGGCUCCGUUUCUGAGUGCUUCGAAGACUUUGGUGUGGGGACCUGGACUCGAGGUCAACGUUGUUCUUCCAGCGCGUUUUUUCUACAUACAAGCCGUGGACAGCGCGGAUAAAAAUUUAACAGCAUCACCAGGUGAACACACCUUCGAAGUGAAGAUCGUUUCUCCCGGGGAGCAGUUUACCAGGAUUUGGACCCAGGUUCUGGACCGUCACGAUGGCUCCUUCCUGGUUCGAUACAGAAUGUAUGCCACGUACCCAAGCCUCCACAUUCAUAUCUUACACGAGAACAAACAUGUCUCCAAGUCACCAUACAUCCUGAAAGGUCCGGUCUACCAUGAGGGCUGUAACUGCCCUCAGCCCAGCGCUCCUGUGUGGGAGGCUCACAUGCACUGCCCUCAGUCUUUCCCUCAGAUUAAAAGUGAUUUGUCUCAUUUUGCCAACGUUGACCCUGAUCGUAACGCCCAGGAGAUCCCACAGCGAUUUGGUCAAAGACAAAGCCUCUGCCAUUACACCGUCAAAGAUAACAAGAUCUACGUUAGAACCUUUGGAGAACACGUGGGGUUCCGAAUCUUCAUGGAUGCAAUUCUGCUGUCCCUCACCAGGAAGGUGUGGCUCCCUGACAUUGAGUUUUUUGUUAAUCUGGGUGACUGGCCUCUGGAGAAGAGAAAACCCACUGAUAAUAUCCAUCCCAUCUUCUCUUGGUGUGGAUCCAACAACACCAGAGAUAUCGUCAUGCCGACCUAUGACCUGACAGAAUCUGUCCUGGAGACCAUGGGCAGAGUCAGUCUGGACAUGAUGUCGGUUCAGGCCAACUCCUGGCCACCGUGGCCAGACAAGAAUGCCACGGCAUUUUGGAGAGGGAGAGACAGUCGGCAGGAGCGACUGGAGUUGGUCAAACUUUCCCGGGCUCAUCCUGACAUGAUAGACGCAGCAUUCACCAACUUCUUCUUUUUCAAACACGACGAGAGUCUCUACGGACCGUUGGUCAAACACGUCUCUUUCUUUGAUUUUUUCAAGUACAAGUAUCAAAUAAACAUUGACGGCACAGUGGCAGCGUACAGACUUCCUUACCUGUUGGCCGGAGACAGUGUUGUCUUCAAGCAGGAUUCCGGAUACUAUGAACAUUUCUACGGCGAGCUCCGACCGUGGGAGCACUACAUCCCGGUACGAGCGGACCUGGGAGACCUGCUGGACAAGAUCCAGUGGGCACGCGAUCAUGAUGAGGAGGCCAAGAAGAUUGCACUGACUGGUCAGCAGUUUGCACGCAGUCGUCUUACAGGAGACGGCGUAUUUUGUUACUACUACAAACUAUUUCAGGAGUAUGCCAAACUCCAGAUCACUAAACCUGCCGUACGUGAGGACAUGGAGCUGGUAGAGCAACCGACCGAUGACCUGUUUCCAUGUACCUGCCUGAGAAAAAGGGCAAAGGAUGAACUCUAACUGAUCUAAAGGUGUCGCUCGUAGUACGAAUGGAUUGUUUCAGACGUCACCGACUGUCAACGGAAAUACAUAGUUUGUCCACUCGCAGCUUCCGUGGCGGAAUCAAACAUAACCCGCCCCUUCUGGCCUUGAUUGGCUUAAGGAUAUCAACUUCAU